GGUUUGCUCAAGGUUACUUACUAAAUAAGUACUAGAACAAGUGCAGAAAAAGCAGGACUCACGAUUCCUGUUUCUGUAUUCAACCCAGGAAAUCCUGUUGCCUUCCAAACCAUGACAUGAUCUCAGGAGUGGUUUCUGCAAGGCCAUCCAGGAUGAAGCAAAUGCUGUUUGGAGUGCUUUUGCUCAAAGGGUCACACACCCCAAGUAAGGAUUCUUUCUGCUAUGUUGUCACCAAGGCAAAUUUUACAGGCUGCCAUGGAUGACACAGGACGUUAGCAGCAUGAUGUGUUUUCAACAGUACAUAAGGCUCAGAAAGUAAAAUGAUGAGCAAAACAAAGGUUUUUCUUUCUGGAUGCUCUGGGAUUGCGUAUAUAAACUAACAAGACUACCAAGACUCACUCUCAAGACAACCAGCCAAGCAACCUUGAAGAAGCCAGUGCCAGCCGGACUGCCAGGAGGAGGCUCAGACCAAUGGAUCCACCUGGAAAGACUCUCCAACACAUUGAGCUGCCUGUGCACUGUGCACUGUGCGCCGGGUUUCCAGAUUUUGUGAGCUGUCACCAGUGAGAACUGUCUUUAUGUAGCUGGCUUUGUGUAAUUUCUUCUCCUGUAAAUAGCCUUUCACCCAUAUGUUCCUGAUAAAACUCACUGAUUCACCAAAUUAGAUAUAGGUGCAGUCAUUACUUUGGUCUA